UAUAGAGGGGGCAAGCGUUGUUCGGAAUCACUGGGCGUAAAGCGCACGUAGGCGGCUUACUAAGUCAGGGGUGAAAUCCUGGAGCUCAACUCCAGAACUGCCUUUGAUACUGGUGAGCUUGAGUUCGGGAGAGGUGAGUGGAACUGCGAGUGUAGAGGUGAAAUUCGUAGAUAUUCGCAAGAACACCAGUGGCGAAGGCGGCUCACUGGCCCGAUACUGACGCUGGGGUGCGAAAGCGUGGGGAGCAAACAGG
rnacentral:rRNA from 1 species